rnacentral:rRNA from 1 species
UGGGGAAUAUUGGACAAUGGGCGCAAGCCUGAUCCAGCAAUGCCGCGUGGGUGAAGAAGGUCUUCGGAUCGUAAAGCCCUUUCGACAGGGACGAUGAUGACGGUACCUGUAGAAGAAGCCCCGGCUAACUUCGUGCCAGCAGCCGCGGUAAUACGAAGGGGGCUAGCGUUACUCGGAAUUACUGGGCGUAAAGGGCGCGUAGGCGGCUCUGUUAGUCAGGCGUGAAAUUCCUGGGCUUAACCUGGGGACUGCGCUUGAUACUGCAGGGCUUGAGGCCGAGAGAGGGUGGUGGAAUUCCCAGUGUAGAGGUGAAAUUCGUAGAUAUUGGGAAGAACACCGGUGGCGAAGGCGACCACCUGGCUCGGUACUGACGCUGAGGCGCGACAGCGUGGGGAGCAAA